rnacentral:tRNA from 1 species
GGGAAUGUAGCUCAGUGGCAGAGUUCAUGUUUUGCAUGCAUGAGACCCUGGGUUCAAAUCCCCAGUGCCA